rnacentral:lncRNA from 10 species
CUUCAACAGGUUAGCUGACUACAGCAGACCCUUUGCAGCAGUAGUUUUAACAUUGACUUCACAUAUUCAGAAGUGAUUCUAAAGGACUGUGGCACAUAGAAAUGUAUUUUGCUGAGCUGUACAACAGGAUGGCACAAAAUCCUGCUGAUAGAAAUAAGUGUAACCGGCCAGGCACAGUGGCUCAUGCCUGUAAUCCCAGCAUUUUGGGAGGCCCAGGUGGGUGGAUCAUCUGAGGUCAGGAGUUCGAGACCAGCCUGACCAACAUGGAAAAAACCCCAUCUCUACUAAAAAUACAAAAUUAGCCGGGUGUGGUGGCACAUGCCUGUAAUCCCAGCUACUCAGGAAGGCUGAGGCAGGAGAACUGCUUGAACCUGGGAGGUGGAGGUUGUGGUGAGCCGAG